rnacentral:lncRNA from 1 species
UAACCCCUCUAAAUGGUCUACCAAGGAGUUCCAUACCUCCUCCUCUCACUCUACUCCCUAAGGUUCACAACUAGGGCCAAGGUAUGACAUCACCUUCCAUUGUAUAUACCCACUUUAAGUCUUAUCUUAGUUUUUUUCUUUUUUUUGUUAGUCUCUUCCUCAUCUUUUUAUCACACUGAGACGGUGUAAAUUAAGUUUGGGGGAGGGACUAGGUAUCUAACAU